AGUCUCAUGGUCUAGUUGGUUAUGACGUGUCGUUCACAUUCAAGGAUGCCGACAAGGUCUCGAGUUCGAACCUCGAUGAGACUA